AUGGAUCUUAAAUUGACUGAGCGGCGGACGGGUGAGUAACGCGUGGAUAACCUGCCUCACACAGGGGGAUAACAGUUAGAAAUGACUGCUAAUACCGCAUAAGCGCACGGUACCGCAUGGAACAGUGUGAAAAACUCCGGUGGUGUGAGAUGGACCCGCGUCUGAUUAGCCAGUUGGUGAGAUAACAGCCCACCAAGGCGACGAUCAGUAGCCGACCUGAGAGGGUGACCGGCCACAUUGGGACUGAGACACGGCCCAGACUCC
rnacentral:rRNA from 1 species